GGGAAAAAUUUCGGGUUUUGGGGUCGAAAAUUGGGAGUUUUGGGGUUUUGGGGUCAAAAAUAGGGGAUUCGGGGUCAGGAAUUGAGGUUGGAGGCCAUCAGCCAGCACCAUGAGAUCCUGCCCGACUAUGAGCUGCGCCUCAUCCACGUCGACAGCAAGGUACCGGGGCAAAAUUUCGUGUUUUGGGGUCAAAAAUUGGGAUUUACAGUGAGGAAUUGGGAUUUGGGGUAAGAAAUCAGGGUUUGGGUUACUUGGGGUUGGAGGACAUCAACGAGCACCGUGACGUC